rnacentral:rRNA from 1 species
UUAUCGGGUUAAAUACUCGAGUAAUCACACCGGAUCCCAUUAGAAAUCCGCAGAUAAGCGUGCUUGGGCGAGAGUAGUACUAGGAUUGGUGACCUCCCAGGAAGUCCUCGUGUUGCAUCCC